UUCCGUAGGGUAACCUGCGGAGGGAUCAUUACCGAGUUUUCAACUCCCUAACCCUUAUGUGAACCUACCUAUUGUUGCUUCGGCGGACUCGCCCCAGCCGGACGCGGACUGGACCAGCGGCCGCCGGGGACCCUCAAACUCUUGUAUUAUCAGCAUCUUCUGAAUCCGCCGCAAGGCAAAACAAAUAAAUCAAAACUUUCAACAACGGAUCUCUUGGCUCUGGCAUCGAUGAAGAACGCAGCGAAACGCGAUAAGUAAUGUGAAUUGCAGAAUCCAGUGAAUCAUCGAAUCUUUGAACGCACAUUGCGCCCGCCAGCAUUCUGGCGGGCAUGCCUGUUCGAGCGUCAUUUCAACCCUCGACCUCCCUUUGGGGAAGUCGGCGUUGGGGACCGGCAGCACACCGCCGGCCCUGAAAUGGAGUGGCGGCCCGUCCGCGGCGACCUCUGCGUAGUAAUCCAACUCGCACCGGAACCCCGACGUGGCCACGCCGUAAAACACCCAACUUCUGAACGUUGACCUCGAAUCAGGUAGGACUACCCGCUGAACUUAAGCAUAUCAAUAAGUCGGAGGAAA
rnacentral:rRNA from 1 species